rnacentral:rRNA from 1 species
AGAGUUUGAUUCUGGCUCAGGACGAACGCUGGCGGCGUGCUUAACACAUGCAAGUCGAACGAUGAAGCCUAGCUUGCUAGGUGGAUUAGUGGCGAACGGGUGAGUAAUACGUGAGUGACCUACCUUUGACUCUGGGAUAAGCCUGGGAAACUGGGUCUAAUACCGGAUACGACCAAUCUCCGCAUGGGGUGUUGGUGGAAAGCGUUAUGGAGUGGUUUUAGAUGGGCUCACGGCCUAUCAGCUUGUUGGUGAGGUAAUGGCUUACCAAGGCGACGACGGGUAGCCGGCCUGAGAGGGUGACCGGCCACACUGGGACUGAGACACGGCCCAGACUCCUACGGGAGGCAGCAGUGGGGAAUAUUGCACAAUGGGCGCAAGCCUGAUGCAGCGACGCCGCGUGAGGGAUGACGGCCUUCGGGUUGUAAACCUCUGUUAGCAUCGAAGAAGCGAAAGUGACGGUAGGUGCAGAGAAAGCGCCGGCUAACUACGUGCCAGCAGCCGCGGUAAUACGUAGGGCGCGAGCGUUGUCCGGAAUUAUUGGGCGUAAAGAGCUCGUAGGCGGCUGGUCGCGUCUGUCGUGAAAUCCUCUGGCUUAACUGGGGGCUUGCGGUGGGUACGGGCCGGCUUGAGUGCGGUAGGGGAGACUGGAACUCCUGGUGUAGCGGUGGAAUGCGCAGAUAUCAGGAAGAACACCGGUGGCGAAGGCGGGUCUCUGGGCCGUUACUGACGCUGAGGAGCGAAAGCGUGGGGAGCGAACAGGAUUAGAUACCCUGGUAGUCCACGCCGUAAACGUUGGGCACUAGGUGUGGGGGGCCUUUUCCGGGUCUUCCGCGCCGUAGCUAACGCAUUAAGUGCCCCGCCUGGGGAGUACGGCCGCAAGG